UACAGAGGGUGCGAGCGUUGUCCGGAAUCACUGGGCGUAAAGGGCGCGUAGGUGGUGACCUAAGCGUGCGGUGAAAGCCCGAGGCUCAACCUCGGGUCGGCCGUGCGAACUGGGUCACUGGAGCAGAAUAGAGGCAGGUGGAAUUCCGGGUGUAGCGGUGGAAUGCGUAGAGAUCGGGAAGAACAUCAGUGGCGAAGGCGGCCUGCUGGGCUGUUGCUGACGCUGAGGCGCGACAGCGUGGGGAGCAAACAGG
rnacentral:rRNA from 1 species